GGACAACAAGCAAAGAUGUCUAAUAUAUCCUAAACACAAAGUGAAUGCAGAUAAAUGAAAUUAACUAAGUUCCAACAGUUCUAUAUUUUAACAUUAUAUUAAUAGUGCAGAUGUUUUCUUCUGGUGACAUGACUUUGAUUUUAAGGAGCAUUAAUUUGAUGAUUUCAUGCAUUUUGGAUAAUAUCUUUUGGUAAGUACAAAUACAUUAGAUUCCACCAUUUUGAAUAUGUGCAUAUUACAAUAAGAGUAAAGAAAACAGUUAUAGAAUGUUUACAUAAGAUUUACUUUCAUCACAAUCAUAAGGAAUUAGCAAUACAUUGUUAUUACUUAUAAUGAAAAAAUAUUUAAAUUGUAUAGGUAUGCUUUUAAUAAUAAUAUAAAAAAACUUAAACAUAGAACAGUGAGAAAACUCACAUUAAGAUAUAUACCACAAACAGUUUGCUGCAAUAUCUCUGAAAUAAUUCAUUAAGAUACAUACUUCUGGAAUACUAGUACAUGUUUAAUUUUACAAAUUUUAAAUAAAUGAUUGAGUAGGGGGAAAAAUGCUAAAAAUAAUUGUCAGGAGAUAUUUUAAAGUCUAUGAUAUAUGAAUGAAUCAAAUGUCCUUAAUGGCAGGGUACAUUUAUACACAAAAUAUAUACAUGUAUGUACUCAUUUAAAUAAAGAAAAAAGCAUGUUGACUUAAACAAAUCUGACAUACUAAUGCAUGAGAUUUGGUAUUUAAUUUUUUUUUAUCAAACUUUAGAUCCAAAACUUUUGUUUUGUUUCAGAUUUACUGUUAAAGACCAGCAGCUCUGAUUUAUAAAAAAAAAACUAUAGUGAGGGCCAAGAUACAUUUAUGUGACCAGCUUAAACUAGUCAAGACAAGACGGCUUUUUGGAAAAUUUGAGAGAAUAGAAGAUGAUAACAAUGAACAAAACAGUGACUGUACUAUAGAAAAUAAAUUUGUUUUCAAGUAAUUUGAUUUUAAAAAUGCCAUCAAAUGUGCUGUGAAGAAAAAAGUCGGAAGAAUGAAUACUGUCUUUUCAUAGAUUAAAAGGAUAAGAGUCCAUGUUAUCCCCAUGGCUUUUUUUUGUUGAUUUUUUGGUAUGUCUUGAAAUAUCCCAGGACAUCCCAGGAGUUCACAGGACAAUAUUAAAAUAAUUUACAUGUAAACAAGUCCUGAAAAGUUUUUUAAACCUGGGACUUCUCAGGACAAUCCUGGGAUAUUUCAGGUUUACUAGUCCUGAAAAGUCCUGAAACCCUGGGACUUCUCAGGACAAUCCUGGGAUAUUUCAGGUUUACUAGUCCUGAAAAGUCCUGAAAUGUCCCAAUUGGUCCUAUGCUUUUAGGAUCAGGAUUUCCUGGGAUAUCCCAGGAAGUCCUGUUCCAAUACUCUCCCUAAUAUUCCUGAAAAGUCUUGAAAUUUCAUUUCAGGAAGUCCUGGGAUAUCCCAAGAAAAUAUCUCAGGAAAUCCCAGGAAGUUCUUGGGAUAUCCUAGGAUAUCCCAAUAGAUUCUUGCAAGGG
rnacentral:lncRNA from 1 species